UCCGAGUUGACCCCGGCAGUCUCCUAUGAGUCCCCGCCAUAACGCGCUGGCAACAUAGAACGAGGGUUGCGCACGUUGCGGGACUUAACCCAACAUCUCACGACACGAGCUGACGACAACCAUGCACCACCUGUAAACCGACCGCAAGCGGGGCACCUGUUUCCAGGUCUUUCCGGUUCAUGUCAAGCCUUGGUAAGGUUCUUCGCGUUGCAUCGAAUUAAUCCGCAUGCUCCGCCGCUUGUGCGGGCCCCCGUCAAUUCCUUUGAGUUUCACCCUUGCGGGCGUACUCCCCAGGUGGAUUACUUAACGCUUUCGCUAAGACGCCGACAGUUUAUCGCCGACAUCGAGUAAUCAUCGUUUACAGCGUGGACUAC
rnacentral:misc_RNA from 1 species